CCUACGGGUGGCUGCAGUGGGGAAUAUUGGACAAUGGGCGAAAGCCUGAUCCAGCCAUGCCGCGUGUGUGAAGAAGGCCUUCGGGUUGUAAAGCACUUUCAGUGGGGAAGAAAGCCUUGGGGCUAAUACCCUCGAGGAAGGACAUCACCCACAGAAGAAGCACCGGCUAACUCCGUGCCAGCAGCCGCGGUAAUACGGAGGGUGCGAGCGUUAAUCGGAAUUACUGGGCGUAAAGCGCGCGUAGGCGGUCUGAUAAGCCGGUUGUGAAAGCCCCGGGCUCAACCUGGGAACGGCAUCCGGAACUGCCAGGCUAGAGUGUAGGAGAGGAAGGGAGAAUUCCCGGUGUAGCGGUGAAAUGCGUAGAGAUCGGGAGGAAUACCAGUGGCGAAGGCGGCCUUCUGGACUGACACUGACGCUGAGGUGCGAAAGCGUGGGGAGCAAACAGGAUUAGAUACCCCGGUAGUC
rnacentral:rRNA from 1 species